rnacentral:lncRNA from 1 species
GGCUCGGGUGAGUUUCAGAAAGGUUUGGACUGCAAACAGGUUGUUGGUGUGCUGUAGUUGUUGCAAUUGCGAGCACAAGCAUCACAAUUGCGAAUAUGAAAGGGAUGGUUCUCAAUUUCAAAGUCUAGGCUUGGGUAGGUGAGUUCUUUUUUGCUAUAAUUUUCUUGCAUUUGCGAGGAGGACAUACUUCGCAUUUCCGAAGUCUAUGUCGCAAUUGCGACAUCUCCUGGGUUUGUCAAUAGACGCAAUUGCAAACCCAGUGUCACAAUUGCGACAUCUGCAACUAAAAAAAAGGUUGAAAAGUCUGUAUUCCAUCUCAUUUUCUCUUAUUUUAGAACUCUAGUCUCGGUAGGAGACGAUUUAGAGAGGAGAUGUUCGUCAACAAACAUUAGGUAAGUGAUUAUAAUCAAUUUCCAACUAUAUUUCAUAAUUAUAUACUAGAUUUAACAUCAAAUUUAUGAGAAUAAAAGAUUAAAUUUGGGGUUUUUUGUCAAAGUAUUAAAAAAAUGAAGAUUUGGAUUUUGAGACUCGAUUUUGACUCGGAUUUGAAAAUAAAAUACAUAUAUAGACUCGUAGGAUUAUGGACGGGCCUGUGGUUGUAUUUUGUUGACCUUUUAGGAAAUGUGUAUAGAUCAUAGCUUUAUCUAUUGUAAUUGAUUUCUCUUGCAUUGUUUGAUGUUAUUAAGUCAUUUUUGGUUAGAUUUGAGCCACGUGGAGGCGAAUUUUAGGGAAAAAACUAUGUUCGAGGGUUGAUUUGGCCUAGUUGAGGUAAGUAUCUUACAUAACUUUGUGUGGGGGAAAUACUCCUUAGUAUUUGGGUUGUUUGCAUUAAUUGUACUAUAUGGAAGACAUGUACACAAGGUGACAAGUGUGUACACGGGCUAUAUGUGAUAUUUUGACCUGUUUAGACUUUUAGACUCUUUCCAUGCAUUUAAUUGAAUUUGUUAUAACAUGUUACAUCUUCAUUGUUAAAGUUUCUCUCACAUGCUGUAGUUGACGUUGUAAGCAUUUGUUAUAUCUUUUGUUUUUGUAAUUGCUCUUAUAUGCUUUAGUUAAAGUUGCUACCUCUCUUAUUGUCUUGUUACCCCUUUAUUGUUGGAUUACUCUUACUUGAAGUUGUUAUUUCGUGAAAUAUCUUCUUAUUGUGUUAUUGAUGUUGAAGUUGUGACAACUAUUAUCAUAUUGCGUUUGAAGUUGUUAAUUAUUGAGAUAUCUUUCCUUGUUGAGUAUUCCUCAUUCAUUUUGUUGUUAUUGAGAUUCUUGUACACAUUGUGAUUGAGCCAUGGGCUAUAUGUUGUGGUGACAUUGGUAUUGUUGAUUUUAGCAAGUGUUUUGGCAUAUGGGCACAUGUGGUGUGAGUUGAUUAAUGUGUUGGGAUAUUAAUAUGCAUGCAGUGGUAUAAGGAUAGGGGUUGAUACGCAUGCGGUGAGAUAAGGUGGGAUUUAUAUGCGUGUUGUUAGUAAAGGAAUUACUUGAAGCCACGCGAUGAGAUAAGGGGGGAUAAAAUGCAUGUAUCUAUUUCGGGAAAAUAUUUUUAAAAAAUAAAUGCAAGGCUCACACGGUGAUAUAAGAAAAUAUUGUGAUUUUGAUUGUGAAAUGAAGUUAUGAGGUGUGGUACCCCAGUUGUGAUUCUUGUUGUACAUCCUGUUUAAAAAAUACUUGUUGGUAGAGCCGUUUUUGUUGUUUACUCCAUUGUUUUACUUGUAAUUGUCCGUAUUUAACUACUUGUUGUUUCAUCAUGUGUUUACUACUUGUUGUCUUUAUCGCUUAAAUUACAUUGUUAGCUUACACUAUUGAACUGUUUAUCUGUCAUUUACUUCCUAACUUUCCAUUAUUAGACUAUGCUAUAGUACUCUGUUCAAUUUUCUUAUCCUAGUAGGUGUCUUGACCUAUCCUCAUCACUAGUCUAUAGGUUAGGCUUGAUACUUACUGGGUACCGUUGUGAUGUACUAAUACUACACUUCUGCAUAUUUGUGUGAAGAUCAAGGUACAUUUGCUCCUGCCGGAUGCUAGUGGUCAUUCAGCUAUUUCUGGAGACUUCAAGGUAUACAUGCCCG